rnacentral:rRNA from 1 species
UCGGUCCGUUUCCGUAGGUGACCUGCGGAGGUCAUUACAGUAGUCACCCGGGUUGCCGCAAGGCCUCUCGGGUAACCUACCACCCUUUGUUUAUUACACUUUGUUGCUUUGGCAGGCCUGCCUUCGGGCUGCUGGCUCCGGCCGGCGAGCGCUUGCCAGAGGAUCUAAACUCUGUUUGUCUAUACUGUCUGAGUACUAUAUAAUAGUUAAAACUUUCAACAACGGAUCUCUUGGUUCUGGCAUCGAUGAAGAACGCAGCGAAAUGCGAUAAGUAAUGUGAAUUGCAGAAUUCAGUGAAUCAUCGAAUCUUUGAACGCACAUUGCGCCCCCUGGUAUUCCGGGGGGCAUGCCUGUCCGAGCGUCAUUACAACCCUCAAGCUCUGCUUGGUGUUGGGCCCCGCCGCCCCGGCGGGCCCUAAAGUCAGUGGCGGUGCCAUCCGGCUCCGAGCGUAGUAAUUCUUCUCGCUCUGGAGGUCCGGUUGUGUGCUUGCCAUCAACCCCCAAUUUUUUUCAGGUUGACCUCGGAUCAGGUAGGGAUACCCGCUGAACUUAAGCAUAUCAAUAAGCGGAGGAAGU